UCAGUUUUUCAUUUUUCCAAAAAGUCAUAAUUUAAAACUUUUAAUUUUUAAAAGCCAUUUGACGUAUACGAUGUUUUUAAAAAACCUAAAUAACACGUUUUUGAAAAAUCUAAACUAUAGAACUUACGAAGUAUCCAACGGGGAUCAAUUUUAUCUCUUAUGAUUUUCGUCCUAUCUAUGACGGUUUUCCCGGAAAACAGUUCGUAAGCUAAAUACAAUAAUAUUUGAAUUUAAAAAUACAUAAAUUUGAAUUAUACAAUAAUUGUACAUAAUUUUACAAUAAUUUUUAAAGUUGAAAAUACUUAAAUUUGGGAAAUGCAUUGGGAUAUUUUGGGUUUUAAUGUUGGUACACCUGCUUUUGAGUUCGGCCCCGAUUUAUUCGUUUAUUCUAUGAUAAUUCCAUGAAAAUUAUUCUGCCUGUUAUCUCGGGGCCGAACUGUACUAGCCCCCACCUUGACCUUAUAGCUAAUUGGCAAUUGAUAAUACCGUGGUGCUAAACAUGAAAAAUUAAAUUUUUGUUUUUAUUUUGUGCUAAAUAGUAAGUUUAAUAAUGAUUUAAUAGUUGUCAGUUUUUGACGUUUUUGUAGGUAUAUAGAAAAAAACAUGUGUAUUUGAUUGCCAUUUGUUACGUUUAUGUACAGAAGAAAACAUUAAUAACUAUCAUAAUUAACAAUUACCUAUGAAUGCAAUUAAUCGCUAUCCAGCGGAAACACAUAGAACACGACACCCAGCAGCAGCAUAUAUAGCUUAAAUUAAUAAGUAUUCAUAUCGUAAUAAUUAAUAGUGUAUUAAUUUUAUUUAUUUACAGUUAAACAAGGAUUUAUAUAUUUGUUUCCACACAGCAAUAUUGCUUUGGAAAAUUUAUUAGUGUACAAAUAUGGUAUGGAGUGAAACGUUGUUAGAUCAAAAGUUAACAUUGAAGAUAUAAAAGUUCUGAGUUCUACAAUAAAUGGAUUGUUUGUAUGAAUAUAUAUACACAUUUUUUUAUAGAAUGCAAUUUAUCGCUAUCCAACGACAACACACAGAACACGAUACCCAUUCCACACAUUCAUCUUCCUGGUGACAACGGUGUUUAUCGGAGUGACAGUUACAGUAUAGGCAUAUGUUUGUCAUGUCUUCAGAAUUUUCCAAGAGAUAGGUCUUUAAAUUUUCUCUGUGAAUGUUAGGAUCAAACUCUAAACUAAACUUAGAACUGUCCAUAAUUGUAAAUGCAUAAUAUAUAAUAUAAACUCCACAAUUAAAUGUA